UUCAUGUAUACAUGUAUCAAAUUAUAUUGAAUAUAGAAAUGCAAAAAUUAAUAAAUAUGAGUAACAAGAGGGAAGAAUUUAAUACUAACUUUUAGCAUUUUGUUACAGAGUAUUCGAACGAGAUGGCGCAAAGGUGGUGAUUGAUGAAACUUCGCUUGACUUUGUCCGAGGCUCAACUAUAGACUACCACACAGAGCUGAUACGUGCUGCUUUUAGAAUAUUAGAUAAUCCCCAAGCGGAAGCAGGGUGUUCAUGUGGAGCAUCUUUUUCUAUUAAAAUAUAACUAGGAAGAACAUAAUGUUAAGGUGGCAUCUACUAUAAUGCCAUGGCAGUGUAGCACCGAUGCUGUGGGUGGCAUCACUACAGAUGCGGCCCAUAUAAAAAUAUUUGUUUGGCAGAUCGCACGGCCGCGGAAAAAGUCAGCGCAGAUUGGGUGUAAAUAUAAUGAUUGAUAAGAUCAUUAAAAUAUGGUUAGAUAUUCAUUAUAGGUUAUUCUAAUGUACUUGUGACUUGUGAUAAUGGAGAUUCAAACAUUGGCUGUAUAUGAAACUAACAUAUUUUUCUUGUAAAUAUUUGUUAAUAAAAAUACUGUUUUGA